rnacentral:tRNA from 1 species
GGGGCGUAGCUCAGUUGGAUAGAGCAACGGUUUUCUAAACCGUAGGUCACAGGUUCGAGUCCUGUCGCCC